rnacentral:rRNA from 1 species
UACGUAGGGGGCAAGCGUUGUCCGGAAUCAUUGGGCGUAAAGAGCGCGUAGGCGGCCCUGUAAGUCCGCUGUGAAAGUCAAGGGCUCAACCCUUGGAUGCCGGUGGAUACUGCAGGGCUAGAGUCCGGAAGAGGCGAGUGGAAUUCCUGGUGUAGCGGUGGAAUGCGCAGAUAUCAGGAGGAACACCAACGGCGAAGGCAGCUCGCUGGGACGGUACUGACACUGAGGCGCGAAAGCGUGGGGAGCGAACAGG